CUUGUCCCCAUUCCUGCACCAUUGAGCCACUCCUUCUAGGAUGAGGAGGACAAUCCUGAAGAUGGUCCUGGAGCUGCAGAUUUCACUCAGGAACCAUGGCAAGCCCAUUGCCUCCCCGAGAAUGAGCUGCUUCCACUCGGCCAGGGAGACCCAGCUUCCUCAACUCACAAAUCGAAUGCAGGGCUAGGUCAGAAAUUUUCACCAUCCCUCAUAAAAGACACAGAGGGGCCCAUCGGGUCCUCCUCCUGAGAGAAAGAUGUCACUCUGAGAGAGAGAGAUGAUGUCACUCUGAUGUGCAGCCCUGGCAUUUGAAAUCUCCUGAUCUCAAUUAAGAGGGUUUCAUUUGCAAAUGAAGGAAAACCUAACCACAAUAUUUUGAACAAGUAGUGGUUUCUUUCUCUCCCCUAAGAAAGCACUAGAGAGGGCACUUGAUGGG